AGCGAACGCUGGCGGCAGGCCUAACACAUGCAAGUCGAACGAACUCUUCUGAGUUAGUGGCGGACGGGUGAGUAACACGUGGGAACGUGCCUUUUGGUUCGGAAUAACUCAGGGAAACUUGUGCUAAUACCGAAUGUGCCCUUCGGGGGAAAGAUUUAUCGCCAUUAGAGCGGCCCGCGUCUGAUUAGCUAGUUGGUGAGGUAACGGCUCACCAAGGCGACGAUCAGUAGCUGGUCUGAGAGGAUGACCAGCCACACUGGGACUGAGACACGGCCCAGACUCCUACGGGAGGCAGCAGUGGGGAAUCUUGCGCAAUGGGCGAAAGCCUGACGCAGCCAUGCCGCGUGAAUGAUGAAGGUCUUAGGAUUGUAAAAUUCUUUCACCGGGGACGAUAAUGACGGUACCCGGAGAAGAAGCCCCGGCUAACUUCGUG
rnacentral:rRNA from 1 species